rnacentral:rRNA from 1 species
UACAGAGGUCCCGAGCGUUGUUCGGAUUUAUUGGGCGUAAAGAGCUCGUAGGCGGCUUGUUGCGUCGACUGUGAAAACCCGCGGCUUAACUGCGGGCUUGCAGUUGAUACGGGCAGGCUAGAGUUCGGUAGGGGAGACUGGAAUUCCUGGUGUAGCGGUGAAAUGCGCAGAUAUCAGGAGGAACACCGGUGGCGAAGGCGGAUCUCUGGGCCUUACCUGACGCUGAGGCGCGAAAGCUAGGGGAGCAAACAGG